UAAAAAACAGUCCCGCGCAGACCUCUAUUCCGACGACCCGACCUCUGGACGUGAUGAUGUAGACGCAAAGUAAUCGGUUUAAAGUGUUUACAUGGCAGGAUUUUAAUUUUGUUCGGUUUAUAGAAAGGUUUAUCCCACCCCUCUCAAACCGAUUACAAUUUCAUUCGGUUUGGGCAUUUUUAUUCCGAUUGAGGUGUUUAUAUGGAGCAUUUUCAUUCGGAUUGGACUUUUAAACCGAUUACAGUGCUCCAUGUAAACGCACCUACUGUGUCUCUCGCUGCUGUUUUCAUCGUUUUUAGGAGUAACACUUCUACAACAGAAGAGAAGCUCCAAGAUAUCUAAAUUUCUGAAGGAAGCUGCUGACAGAGAUGUGGGAAACAUAGUUGAGAAGACAUAUUAAGUCUGCACAAAUAUAUUAAAAAAAAAUCCAGCCAACACUGAGAUCAUUCCACAUGUGCACGAGCCUGAGUGACUUCGCAGGAGAAACAGCGCCGCCAUCUUGUCAAGUUCACGAGUCAGGGUGUGGCCAAAGGUUUCAUUGGUGCUUUGUCAUCACUGCAAGAUUUCAGAUGCAACCCAGUCAGUUUUUCCAAGGCACCAAACACCAGACCGCUCCACUGCAACUACAUACUGUGUGUACCUUCAAGACAAGGAGUUCAUUGUUUUCAUUCCAGGUAAUGUGUUUAAAUGUUUAGAGUUUACUACAAUUAAAAUGUGCUUUAUUGUUCUCAGUGGCAUCUACGCUAAUAUUAGUCUGUUUCAUUCUUAUUCCGAGGUCACCAUAGCCACCCAGAUCCAGUCCGUUUCCAGAUCAGAUGGUGGAUCAGCAACUAGAGACGACCUCUACAGCCUUGAAUGUCAGCGGAGAACAUGUCAGCUAGAUGAGCUCCAGAGACAGAUCCCCUCCGAAGACCUCGUUGGCCAUCGUGACAAGACCACCAGACAAGUCCUCUGCUCAAUCUGACCUGUGCAGGAAUUAAACCAUGCCAUGCUGGUUUCGUCUGGCCAGAGGAGAACUGUCCCUCGACUGAACCUGGUUUCUCCCAAGGUUUUCUACUCCGUUUCUGUCACCGAUGGAGUUUUGAGUCCUUGCCGCUGUCGCCUUUGGUUUGCUUAUUUGGGGACGCUUGGCUGAUUGCAUAGACACUAUUGGAAGAGAGCUGAACUGAAUGAUGAUUUCAUUGAAUCAUCAAUGAAUUGACUUUAACUGGAAAAAUGACUUGUUAAUGUUCUCUUGCAUUAUUAACUAUUUUCCUGUUUGACUGUAAAGCUGCUUUGACACGAUCAGUAUUGUAUAAAGUGCAUUAUAAAUAAAGGUGACUUGACUUGAUUUUAUAUACUGUAAUACCUGGUUCAUUUUUUUUUUUUUUCUUUUGUGACUUCUGCCUCAGUUAAAGAUGCGAAUUGUGAACAGUAGUAAUAUUUGUAAAUGUUCGUUUAGGUUUUUCUUAUUUCAUUAAAGUUUAAACUGAAUUUUGUAGUUGUAUUACAGAUGUAUGUUUGUCAGCUGAAGCUUUAAAGGGAUAGUUCACCCAAAAAUUAAAAUUUGCUGUUAAUUUACUGACCCUUAGGCCAUCCCAGAUGUAGGUGACUUUUUUUCUUUAAGCCUGUAUGUUUAGUCUGUAUGACAAAUUUUAUAAAUGGAGAUUGUUAUUAAAUAAUGGCUAUUAUGUGUUGUAAAUUGUGUGUUUGUGAUUGAUAAACACCAGUUAAUCAUUUUUAAUAAUUUUGUUAAACUAUAAAAAUAUAUGU